rnacentral:rRNA from 1 species
UGAAGCGGCAACAAGCUCAAAUUUGAAAAUCUGGCCUUCGGGUCCGAGUUGUAAUUUGUAGAGGAUGCUUUUGGUGAGGUGCCUUCCGAGUUCCCUGGAACGGGACGCCAUAGAGGGUGAGAGCCCCGUCUGGUUGGAUACCGAACCUCUGUAAAGCUCCUUCGACGAGUCGAGUAGUUUGGGAAUGCUGCUCUAAAUGGGAGGUAUAUGUCUUCUAAAGCUAAAUACCGGCCAGAGACCGAUAGCGCACAAGUAGAGUGAUCGAAAGAUGAAAAGCACUUUGAAAAGAGAGUUAAAAAGUACGUGAAAUUGUUGAAAGGGAAGCGCUUAUGACCAGACUUGGACUUGGUUGAUCAUCCUGGGUUCUCCCUGGUGCACUCUUCCAGUUCAGGCCAAACAUCAGUUCGCUGCGGGGGAUAAAAGUUUUGGGGAAUGUGGCUCCCUCGGGAGUGUUAUAUCCCCAUUUCAAA